UCCCCAUCUCCUUACUUAUAACAAGCAAUGUAAAGUUCUUUGCUUUCUACACUUACUUGCGUUCAAUUUGAUGUACUCCAAGCAGUGCACCUCUUGAGUUCAGUUACAUGACAAGUGACAGGGCUACAAUUUAAACCAGACCCUUCUGACUUCAAAACCUUAAACUUUCUCAUUCAUUAAUGAAGUUUCCAAAAGGAAUCCAUACAAAAAACUUUUCUUACAGCAUGAGCCAGAUAGAUUAGCAAGACAGAGGCUUGAAUUAUACUUCUUUCCACAUUCUUUUUUAUUUUACCUUUCCAAAGAUGGUCUAUUCAACAUGUAGUUAAUUUUAUGGACUCAAAGGUUUUGGCAUGACAUUUACUAGCAAGCUACUUUCUUAAACACUUUGAGCUUAUGGUCUGUGGGUGUGGGAAUUCACUCUAUCCUAGGAAUAUUUUUCAAAGAAACAAAAUAGGUUUCAACUUUUUCCACAUUAGAAAAAGAUCAUAUGGUAUACUGAAAGGCAAAGUAAUACAAUGUUCUUUAAUUUUUACAUAUGGUAGAUAACGUAACAAAGCACCAGUUUAUUCUACUGUUUUGCAAAUCAUUUACUGGCCCUGUUCAGAAAAUAAGUAAAUUACCAGAAUUUUUUUUCAAGUUAAAACUCUUUCCUGCAUCAGUGUGUAAAUCAUCUGAUUGCGUUUCCUGAGGACAGACUCGGACAUUAGGUAAUUAACCAGGAAAACCUUCCUAAUAUGGCUCUUUUUUGGUGAAAAUUAAUCAAAUGGAUAACUGUUGCCCUAAACUGUGUCUGUCUGAAAUCGUUAUGGGAUUUUGCCUCAACAAUUCUGGUUUUUUUUUCCCACUUAAAGAUUCCACUCCUCUCCUUUAUUCUCAUGGUCCUGUAAAACUCCAUAUGAGAAUCAAACAUCAUUUUCAAAGUCUUCCCGAAACAAAAAUCUGGUGUUUUAGAAUUAUUACAUUACGGACUGCAGCUACUCCACUAACAACACUGAGACUUUCACAUCACGCUUGGAAAUCUCAGCAAACAUGACAACUGAAGAGUGAACCAGGCCAAGGGCCAGCAAGAAUCUCAACUUUGCUUCUGCACCAUUCUCUGGCUUAGGUCUCAGUCAACUGAGACCAGGAAAUCAGGGAGAUCUUUUUCUAGAACUAAUACUUUGGAUGCAGAGAUCAUGAAUCGUCCCAAAACUGGCAAGAGAAGUGUGAAGAAUUUGGAAAGGCACAAGGAAAGCAGCCCAGCCAGCACUGAUGCCUCAAAGAGAAGGGAGCAGAAAGGACUGAAAGACUGCCAGAGGACAGCAGUAAAGGGUGGAAGAAGGAAAGCCACAGUUGUUCUGGGAGAAAAGUGCAAGGCAUGAUGGGAAAACAGCUCUUCCAAAGGGGCCAAGAAAGGAAGCUGCUCUCAUUUAAAAGAGAAAGUUGUUUACUCUAUCCAGAAUGGCUGGCCUCUGAUAUCAAGUUCAUCCCUUCCUUUUCCUUCUCUCCCAUGACCCCAAGUACAGUGUGAAAAAAUGGUCAACUUAUUGGCAUUAAUUUUCCAUGCUUUUGGAUGUCUAUAAUUAAAAGUUGGCAAAUGACACAAAAGUGGGAAUACAGGGAGAAGAGGACAGGGAGAAUAUGAGAAAGAACACUGAAGAAUAGGAGGAGAAAGGUCAAGAGUCUAUAGGUAGUGUAAAGAAGGCAAGAGUGUACUUCAGCGGUGUAAGGGGGGAGGGGUCUGGAUGAUGCGCUGGGCUUGAGGAGCUCAAGACACUUCCAGACACAAAACACUGGGAUUAGGAAAUAAAGAGUAACAAUUCCUAUGGCUAAAAUGGAAA
rnacentral:lncRNA from 1 species